UACGUAGGGUGCGAGCGUUGCCCGGAUUUAUUGGGCGUAAAGGGCGCGUAGGCGGCUCUGCACGUCCGUUGUGAAAUCGCCCGGCUCAACUGGGCGGGGUCAGCGGAUACGGCGGAGCUUGAGCAAGCUAGGGGGCAAUGGAAUUCCCGGUGUAGUGGUGGAAUGCGUAGAUAUCGGGAGGAACACCAGUGGCGAAGGCGGUUGCCUGGGAGCUUUGCUGACGCUGAUGCGCGAAAGCGUGGGGAGCGAUCCGG
rnacentral:rRNA from 1 species